GGUAGGACGAGGAGGAAGCAUAGAGGGAGACUGCGGGACGAAGAGGAGAUCUCGGUCAGCAUGCAACCUACACACCAACACCAUCCCAGCUCGUGUGCCGACUCGAGCCAGUUUUGUAGCCGCCAAGGGAAGUACAAAGAUGGCGUCGAGGCUUGGGCGUGUGGCCGUCGACGUGGAGCAGGCAGAGGAGGAGCGACUACUACCCCAACGGCAGCCUCUCCUCCCUUGUCCACGGACAUGCAAAGCACAACAACCAACAGCAGACGACACCUCCUCCAA